rnacentral:rRNA from 1 species
UCAGGAUGAACGCUAGCUACAGGCUUAACACAUGCAUGUCGAGGGGCAGCAUAUCGAAAGCUUGCUUUGAUGAUGGCGACCGGCGCACGGGUGAGUAACGCGUAUCCAACCUUCCCUAUACUAGAGGAUAGCCCGGCGAAAGUCGGAUUAAUACUCUAUGUUCUUCGUAGAAGACAUCUGAAAUGAAGCAAAGGUUUACCGGUAUAGGAUGGGGAUGCGUCUGAUUAGGUUGUUGGCGGGGUAACGGCCCACCAAGCCCACGAUCAGUAGGGGUUCUGAGAGGAAGGUCCCCCACAUUGGAACUGAGACACGGUCCAAACUCCUACGGGAGGCAGCAGUGAGGAAUAUUGGUCAAUGGACGAGAGUCUGAACCAGCCAAGUAGCGUGCAGGAUGACGGCCCUAUGGGUUGUAAACUGCUUUUAUACAGGGAUAAAGUUCACUACGUGUAGUGUUUUGUAGGUACUGUAUGAAUAAGGACCGGCUAAUUCCGUGCCAGCCGCCGC